AACGAACGCUGGCGGCAGGCUUAACACAUGCAAGUCGAACGCCCCGCAAGGGGAGUGGCAGACGGGUGAGUAACGCGUGGGAACGUGCCCUUCGCUUCGGAAUAGCCCCGGGAAACUGGGAGUAAUACCGGAUACGCCGUAUUGGGAAAGAUUUAUCGGCGAAGGAUCGGCCCGCGUUAGAUUAGCUAGUUGGCGGUGUAAUGGACCACCAAGGCUACGAUCUAUAGCUGGUCUGAGAGGAUGAUCAGCCACACUGGGACUGAGACACGGCCCAGACUCCUACGGGAGGCAGCAGUGGGGAAUAUUGGACAAUGGGCGCAAGCCUGAACCAGCCAUGCGGCGUGAGUGAAGAAGGCCUUAGGGUUGUAAAACUCUUUCGCCGGAGAAGAUAAUGACGGUAUCCGGAGAAGAAGCCCCGGCUAACUUCGUGCCAGCAGCCGCCGUAACAC
rnacentral:rRNA from 1 species